GACAUGGCUCAGUGCUAGAACGUCAGUUUAGUAUGCUGAAGGUCUCGGGUUCAAUCCCCAGCAUCUCCA
rnacentral:tRNA from 1 species